UACGUAGGGUGCAAGCGUUGUCCGGAAUUAUUGGGCGUAAAGAGCGUGUAGGCGGCCCGAUUAGUCCGCUGUGAAAGUCCAGGGCUCAACCCUGGAAUGCCGGUGGAUACUGUCGGGCUAGAGUCCGGAAGGGGCGAGUGGAAUUCCUGGUGUAGCGGUGAAAUGCGUAGAGAUCGGAAAGAACACCAACGGCGAAAGCACUCUGCUGGGCCGACACUGGCACUGAGAGACGAAAGCUAGGGGAGCGAAUGGG
rnacentral:rRNA from 1 species